rnacentral:rRNA from 1 species
AGUGAACGCUGGCGGUAGGCCUAACACAUGCAAGUCGAACGGCAGCACAGUAAGAGCUUGCUCUUACGGGUGGCGAGUGGCGGACGGGUGAGGAAUACAUCGGAAUCUACUUUUUCGUGGGGGAUAACGUAGGGAAACUUACGCUAAUACCGCAUACGACCUACGGGUGAAAGCAGGGGAUCUUCGGACCUUGCGCGAUUGAAUGAGCCGAUGUCGGAUUAGCUAGUUGGCGGGGUAAAGGCCCACCAAGGCGACGAUCCGGAGCUGGUCUGAGAGGAUGAUCAGCCACAACGGAAUAUAGCCACGGUCCCGGCUCCUACGGAAGGCGACAGUGGGGAAUAUUGGACAAUGGGCGCAGGCCUGAUCCAGCAAUACCGCGUGGGUGAAGACGGCCUUCGGGUUGUAAAGCCCUUUUGUUGGGAAAGAAAAGCAGCAGGUUAAUACCCCGCUGUUCUGACGGUACCCAAAGAAUAAACACCGGCUAACUUCGUG